rnacentral:rRNA from 1 species
GGAGUGCUUGCACUCCUGAUGCUUAGCGGCGGACGGGUGAGUAAUACGUAGGUAACCUGCCCUUAAGACCGGGAUAACUCACGGAAACGUGGGCUAAUACCGGAUAGGCGAUUUCCUCGCAUGAGGGAAUCGGGAAAGGCGGAGCAAUCUGCCACUUAUGGAUGGACCUACGGCGCAUUAGCUAGUUGGUGGGGUAACGGCUCACCAAGGCGACGAUGCGUAGCCGACCUGAGAGGGUGAUCGGCCACACUGGGACUGAGACACGGCCCAGACUCCUACGGGAGGCAGCAGUAGGGAAUCUUCCGCAAUGGACGCAAGUCUGACGGAGCAACGCCGCGUGAGUGAUGAAGGUUUUCGGAUCGUAAAGCUCUGUUGCCAGGGAAGAACGCUAUGGAGAGUAACUGUUCCAUAGGUGACGGUACCUGAGAAGAAAGCCCCGGCUAACUACGUGCCAGCAGCCGCGGUAAUACGUAGGGGGCAAGCGUUGUCCGGAAUUAUUGGGCGUAAAGCGCGCGCAGGCGGUCAUGUAAGUCUGGUGUUUAAACCCGGGGCUCAACUCCGGGUCGCAUCGGAAACUGUGUGACUUGAGUGCAGAAGAGGAAAGUGGAAUUCCACGUGUAGCGGUGAAAUGCGUAGAGAUG